GACUGCGGAGGAUCAUUACAAAUGUCUGGGAUGUUCAAUCGGGCUCCCAAGCAAACACAUUCAUGUGUACUCUUCCAAGUUGCUUCCCCAGACCAGUGGCCACUGCUGCCAGUCCAGUACCUAAAUGUGCUUCUGGGUUGAGGUGUCUGGGGAAGGGCCCAAUAUUAUACUUUUGAACCAAUCAGUUGUCUGAGAAGGCUAUGUGCCGCAACCUUGAAAAUAUGUUAAAACUUUCAACAACGGAUCUCUUGGCUCUCGCAUCGAUGAAGAACGCAGCGAAAUGCGAUAAGUAAUGUGAAUUGCAGAAUUCAGUGAAUCAUCGAAUCUUUGAACGCACAUUGCGCCCUUUGGUAUUCCUUAGGGCAUGCCUGUUCGAGCGUCACUAAAACCCGCCUCACAGAUAAUGUGGUAUUGGUAGAAGUGAAUAGUACUAACAGUACUUUGUUUUACUCUACUCAAAUGAAUAGGCCAGAAAAGUGGACCAUGGUUACAGACUCUCAGAGUGUUUGAAAACGCUAAACUAGUCUUACCCAGGUUGAGUUCUAAGCCACUGGACCCCCAUUUAGUCCAAACCAGAGAGGUUGACCUCGGAUCAGGUAGGGAUACCCGCUGAACUUAAGCAUAUCAUA
rnacentral:sRNA from 1 species